GGAACUUCCGUUCAAGCAGAGAUUACUGAAAUAAAACCGUUAGAGCUUAAAUUGAAAUUCGGUUCCGGCUUACAUGGGCGGAUACAUAUCACCGAGGCGAGCGAUGGUAAUGUUUCGGAGAACCCGUUUAGUAACUAUAAGAUCGGGCAGGCA